UAGUUCACGGACAUCUACAGUAAUUAACCAUUUUUUAUAAACCCAGAAUUUCUGCAGUUUGGGGGGCUCGACCAGCCGACUUCAAGAGGUGAUUCCUCUCAACUUCGACCACCAAUUCACACAAGACCGGUCCCGUUGGAACCACUACACUUCCCUCUUCCAGCCCCAGCCCUUCACUGCCUCAAUCCACAGCUGUAAUCGCCGAAAACAGCCAAGAAACAGGAGGUUGUGGACAACUUUUUCGUAAACUUUCGGCGGCUCGUUCUCCCUUCUUCGGCCACCGUUUCAUGCGAGUGAGGCUGGACUAGAUGUAUCUGUACUGGAAUUUGCACGUCAGCACCUUCAACUAAUAGAGAUCAACUGGAAAUCGAUGCCAAUGUCGAGAUUGGCAGAGCUAUAAUUAAUCUGAGCCAUGAAGAGGCUUGUCGAAUGGGCAGAACUGGGAUUUCUCCAAUCCGGACUGAAUUGAAAGUGGAUGGGUUGGCAGUUGCUAGCCUAAAAUUGCACUUUAGUAUCUAUUCUGCUUGACUGAGGAUCACCUGUGGGCUAUUCUGGGGAUUUUAAGACAUCAAGAUGUCUCUGAAAAUUUGUUGAGGUUUUCAUAUUAUGAACAACCUGAGUUCUACUUGGAUCACCUAUUCUGAACCAGAUUUGUAACGAGAGGAAUCCGUUUUCCCUGUGAACUACUCCUCCGAGCUGGAUUGAAGUCAGAGAUUCGAUUUCUGCCUGUUUUGUUGGAAGCUGGAUGGAUUUUGCAAGCUAGAUAGCCUUAUUGCUUCUAAGUUUGAAGACUUUUAAGAUUGUGUGAUUUUGCUUGAUUUUUUGUCAGUAUGACUGAGAGUUUUUGUUUUGAUUUUGAUUUUUUGUUGUCCUCUCUCUAGUUCACAUCCUCUUAUAUUUAUAGGAAAUCUGUAUGAUGAUGAUUCCUUAAUAUAUGAAGGAUCUUUCCUGAGAAGUGUUUGCACCAGUAAAUAAGGGAGUAGUAGUUGUUAUGACAGGAA